rnacentral:rRNA from 1 species
UACAGAGGCCUCAAGCGUUGUUCGGAUUCAUUGGGCGUAAAGGGUGCGUAGGUGGCUUGGUAAGUUGAAGGUGAAAUCUCGGGGCUUAACUCCGAAACUGCCUUCAAUACUGCCGGGCUUGAGGACUGUAGAGGAGAAUGGAAUUCACGGUGUAGCAGUGAAAUGCGUAGAUAUCGUGAGGAAGACCAGUGGCGAAGGCGAUUCUCUGGGCAGUUCCUGACACCGAGGCACGAAGGCUAGGGGAGCAAAC